rnacentral:rRNA from 1 species
UACGAAGGGUGCAAGCGUUAAUCGGAAUUACUGGGCGUAAAGGGUGCGUAGGCGGUUCGUUAAGUCUGUCGUGAAAUCCCCGGGCUCAACCUGGGAAUGGCGAUGGAUACUGGCGAGCUAGAGUGUGUCAGAGGAUGGUGGAAUUUCCGGUGGAGCGGUGAAAUGCAUUGAGAUCGGAAAGAACACCAACGGCGAAAGCACUCUGCUGGGCCGACACUGACACUGAGAGACGAAAGCUAGGGGAGCAAAUGGG